UCUGCCUUCCAAGUGCUGGGAUUAAAGGCGCCACCACGCCUGGCCUGAACAAUGUUCUUAAGUCUCUCUCUCUUUUUUUUUUCUUCUCACGUAUAUUUGACCUUAACUAAAAUGACCAGACUGGCUUCAGACUUGGCAGCCCCCCUGUUUCAUGCUCUACCUAGUGACUGAGAUUAUAAGCAUGGACUACCAUGCCCAGCCAUGGUUUUUUUAAUAGACACCUCAUGAGUGAGUUCCUUGCCUUGAGGGUUAUGGAGUAGGGCUGGAAUGGCCCUAUAUUCUGAGAAAUACUCAUCUUAAUUCAACAAUAAGACCACCUCUCAUGUGACUCUUGUGACAUAUUUGACCAAAACCUUUCAGAUUUGGUUUUGAGUUAUGUGUCACCCUUGAGUGAAUGAUUGGUCCCCACCUACUUCCACCUGAACUGACUAAAAGGUGGGCUUUUGAUGAUUGGUAUCCAGGGAUUUGGAAGUUGUUUGUUCAAUAACUGAGGCCCAGACACUUUGCUAGUUGCUGGGAUUAUAGUGGAAAAGCAGGCUGCCUAUGAUACCCACAGCUUUAUGAUCUAGGGGAGAGACCAACAGCAGUGCAGCAAUGAUGGUGCACCUGCUAGCGGUGCAGCAAGGGACCAGGUUCUCUGAGACUGCACAAGUGUUCUUACUGUGAACUUGCAGGCUCUGAGGUGACUUCUCAAGGAACCCACCCCCUUACCUAGAAGUAAAUAAACAUGUGAGAUGAAGUAUCAGCUUUGUUAAGUUUGAGGAAGUUUGGUGUGAUUAAAAGGCAGAUGGGAAAUGAAUCAGAAAAGGGGAGCAAAGUCUCAUGCCUUAGAAACUCCAGUGAGAUGGUGGGGCGAGAACGGGUAGGUGGAGGGGUAAAAGACUACAGGUUAGCAAGCUUUUCUAGGACAGACUAGAGUAAAUACUUAGGGUUUGUGACUCUUUUACAUCUGUACAGCUUGUAAUAAGCGUUUCAGCAGCUUUGGAUACUGUGAAGGUAAACAUGAUUGUGUUCUAGUAAAAAAUGUAUUUAUAAAAGCAGGUGGCAUCUGGAUUUGAUUCAUGGACCAUGGUUUGUCUAUCUGGAUCACAACAAUAAAAGAUUGUACCAGCUUAGGGUGGUGGUAUACUCCUGUAAUUGGUAGGGUAAAGCAGGAGAGUUGCUAAUUCAAGGCCAGCCUGUGCUACAUAAGAAAGCCGAG
rnacentral:lncRNA from 1 species